AAAUAAGAAGCAAAUUAUUGCAGUUAGUUUCGGCCUAAAAGUGUGGUUCAUACCCUUAUUUA
rnacentral:tRNA from 1 species